UCAGGUCACAAGGAUCGUUAGAUUAAAAAAUUUAUUACGUUUUUAAAAGAAGGGGAAAAAAAGGAGAAAAAAAAGAAGAAAAAAGUUAGAAACUCCAAAUUCUCUUGUCAAAAAUUGUAUCUCAAACGUUGAUUGUCACCUAUCAACAAUCGACGCGAGAAUCUAAUUAUUUCUAAUGCAUGUAAGAAAGUAUAUAACUUUCGUUUAUAUUAAAAUUUCUCGAAAUUUAUCGUCGUCAUUUAAUAAAAGCCACGUUCGUAUCGGCACUUUUUAAACAUCGUUCUUCUUGAUGAUCUAACUCUCGCCCCUAAUGUUUUCAUUACCAAACGAGCGAUAAAUAUGAAACUCAUUUUAUAGGUGAAAAGUGCGGGAAUAAGGAAAAAUAAGAGAUACGAUAAUAAUAUAUUAAAUAAUAAUUCUAACGACGAUCUCACCGAUCAACGAUGAUAGAUAAAUUUUGAUAAGAGAAAUAAGAAAAAAGGAAAAUGGAAAAGAAUUCGUAAUGAAUUAUAAUUAGAGAUAAAAAGAUUAGAUAAACAGAUUAAAGGAGAAAGAAGGAAAGAAAUGAAAGAAAAAAAAAAAGAAAAAAAAUGGUAAAACUAAUAUAUCGUAAAGAAUUAGAAAUUAGAUGUGUUAAACGUAAAGAGUUAGAAACUAAACACUGCGAUUUUAUAAUUCAGCCUUCCACGGACCAGCCGGGUUAUAAGACUGACUUGAUUUCGACUCGUAUGUCUUAUACAUACAUAGAGACAGAGAAAGAGAGAGAGAGAGAGAGCCAGACAAAAGAAAAAAAAAGAAAACAUCCACCACCUUUGUUCUCUCGACCUCUUGACCUUCUUAAUCAUUAAUCUCCUCUACGCACUCUUUUUAACUUCUACCCAACUUCUCAAGGUAGAACGAUAUCACUUGGCUUAUUCAGUUUGUGAUAUUGUAAAGUCAAUAGGGGAACAAAAAACAAAAAGAGAUAAAAAUAAAAAAUUAGGAAAACUCAUUCUCUCGAACAAUCGAAGAUACAUUAUAACAAAUUUCAAUAAUCUUCUUGUUUAUCUCUCAUAUAUAAAUACAUUUCUUUUUCUCUUUUCGUCGAAUGGAAUUAUCAAUUUUACACUAUCAUACAAAUUGUAACGACAAACAAAUUGUUACUCUUUUGUAUGAAGGAAAAAAUAAGAGUAAGAAAAAAAAGAAAGAUAAAAGGAUAAUAAAAAGAAAAAAAAAAUAAAAGAUAUAAGAUAAAAAAAAAAAAAAGAAAUAAUAAAAUAAGAUAAAUAAGAAGAAUGUAUGAAAUUUGAGUUGAGAAAUUGAUUUUAGUCGAUCGAUCGAAACCGACAAAAUGAUCGAUCAAUUUAAAUAUCUACGAUCUCUGGACACACCCUAUGUAAUAAUGAUUAUUUAUACAUGCAUGCACACAUACACACACACAUAUAUAAUAACUAAUACUUGUGAUUAUCUUAUAUCACAUGGGGGGUCACGGACAUAUCUAAAAAAAUCAAUUGCAUUUCUCGUACCGUUUCCUAUAAGUGUUAAUAAAACUCUACCUUCUUUUGCUUUACUUGUUUUUUACUUUUUCUGCCCCUUUUUUUCUUCCUUCGUCAUUGUCCAUAACAUUUAUCUUACAUUAUUAAGAUACACCAGGUGUUCUUCUUUCUAUAUUUUAUUCCGAAGGACAUUGAAUGACGUCAUGCACUAGAUACGCCCGAAUUAUCGACAAGUUUUAUCAAUUUUUAUGUAAUACAUGAUAUACGUAUAUAUACGAUAAAUGGAGAGAGAGAGAGAGAGAGAGAGAGAGAAAGAAAGAGAAGAUAUUAAGUAGAAAUACUUAGAUGAUAUGUUCAGUCUACGUUUGUGCAACGUUCGAGGCACAAUAACGUUGUUUAGAUUUUCUAUUCUUUUUUUUUUCUUUUUUCCCGAAAAUUUACACUCUCUCUCUUUCUCCUGUUCCGUAUUAAAACAUCGUUGAAAUGCAACUAAAAAAAUUUGUAAUCGUUAGUGUUUCGUUAGUAUGUAUUCGUGAAUGACGAUAAAGCACGAUUAAAUUUAAAACCGUUUCCGCCCACAUUUUCAUAAUGAAAAAUAAAAACAACGUGUUUCCAUUAGACAGUUAUAAUAGUGGAGUUAUAAAUCGAUGCAACUGCUGACUAAAAAAAAAAGUUUAUUAUAGACCUUUUCUAUAUAGAUUAAAAUCUAUUGUUACAAAUUAUGGGUCAAAAGUUUCUAGGUUUGUAAUUUUUAUGAAAAAAAAAAAAAAAAAAAAAGUUUGAAUAAAUAAAAAGAAAUUGAUUUUUAAUUAUCGUCUAGGUACAAUUUAAGCUUAUUUUGCAUAUUAAUAAGGUACAUCGAUAAAUUUGUUGCUUUUUUCUAUUUCACUUUAAAAAUGAAGAACGAAAAAGAAAUAAAUCGUUAAUAAAAACCUGCAUGAAAUAUUUUUGAAGCACGAUUUACGUUUUUACGUAUAGAAAAUAUUUUCCAAAUACAAUUUUCUGAUCGAGAAUGAAAAAUAAAUAUCUUUUUUCUUUUCUUUUUCUUUUUCUUCUCUCGAAAUAAAUCGAUUGUAAUAACGAAACUUAAAAAAAAUAUCUUUCGGGUUCGAUUUAGAUUUUUUACAUUUUCAAAUAUUUUCAAAACAAAUUCCUGAAGAGUUUUCUUUCGAUACGUUUCAAGGAGAAAGAAAAAAUACAUUUUCUUUUAUUCCAAGGAUUGUGUUUACAUUGAUACACUGAAUGGACGAUGGAUAAUCGAAAAUAUAAACAAAUCAAUCUUAUGAGUUGGAGGAGCUUCGGAACAUCGAUCAUUCUUGAAAAGGUCGUAUUUGUCGAUAUAUGUCGAUAUUCUCGAUGAUAAUAAGUCAACGAGAUUUCUUUGAAAGAUUUACUAUUUAUUAACUUCUCACAUAUAUCGAAGAAUAUAUAUAUAUAUAUAUAUAUAUAUAUAUAUAUAUAUGUGUAUGUUUCUUUAAUUUAAAAGAAGAUUAAAAGAAAAGAAAAAAAGAAGAGAGAAAACGUCAUUAGAAAAUGAAUUUGAGGAUUUGAAAAUGUCGACAAAAUUUCUAACUCUGUACGAAGCAUGAAUCUUAUGCGGUCGGCUAAGCGUAUGCAUUAUUUUUAGAAUUCACGCUCUGCGUUUAACGCAUGCACGUGGAUACAGCGUUUGUACAACGUUAUGGAGAAGAAGAAUAAGGGGAAUAAGAAUAAGAAUAAGAAGAAAAAGAAAACGAUAAAGAGAAACAAGAAGAGGAAGAAGAAGAAGAAGAAGAAGGAGGAGAAGAAGGAACAGUAAAAUAUAAGAAAAAUAACAGAAAAGAGACGAAUUGGGUAUAUACCUACUUAUGUAUGCGUUGACUUAACGAUAAGAAAGAAUGAAUACGAAAUACGAUAUCCCGAAUCUUAUAUACUUAUUCAGAUUUAUUCCAAAAAGAAAAAAAGGAGAAAGAAAAAAAAAGAACGAAAAAAAAAACAAAAAACCAAUUAGCAUACGAGCAAAAAAGAGAAUUAUCACGACAAUACAAUGGGAAGAA